AAAAAAAAAAAUCAAAACGCACGUUUUGAUUGAAGACCGUAUUUGAAAAUUCGUUUCUGCCAUUCGAAUUGAUGCCGCGAAACCCCUGCUCAAUCGCGACCCGCGUCUCCUUUCACAACCCAUCACCUCCCGGCGACGCCGUCUCUCUCAUCAGUGCCACCGAGCGGCACUCCUCCGUGUGCCCAGUGCCUCCACUGUCCCGCGAGCUCGUUUGAACGGAGCAAAGAAUAUUUGAAUCCCGCGAAACCCCCUUCCUUGCCACGAACCCGCGUCCGUCGGCUUCCUCUUGCCAGCGCCACCUCGCGACGGCUUCCUCUUCCCAGCGCCACCUCGAGACGCUCGUUCGUCUGCCCAGCGCCGCCGCUCCUCGCGAGCUGAUCGAACGGACCAAACCAACGACGGGUAAGAGUGCUCUGUUUCGCCAAAUGGUUUUAAAUUAUCGGAAGACAUUCUUAGCCUUAUUGUGAUGGGGGAAAACGAAGAUGGAAUGCAUCCUUUUGAUAUAAAUAUGCCCUACGAUUCCCCGAGUACUCCAGUAGACUAUAGCCCAUUUUUUGAUUCAUUUGAGCAUAUGCCACCUUAUAUGUCCUACCCUCCGCCGAGUAAUCCAGAUGACUUGAGGCAAGAAGUGCCCCCAACGUCAACUGUGCCAACCGAUACCACAUUUGAACAAAAUCUUGGA